CCUACGGGAGGCAGCAGUGAGGAAUAUUGGUCAAUGGCCGGAAGGCUGAACCAGCCAUGCCGCGUGAAGGUCAGUGCCCUAUGGGCGUUAAACUUCUUUUGUGCGGGAGCAAUAAUGGUCACGUGUGGCCAGACGAGAGUACCGUACGAAUAAGCAUCGGCUAACUCCGUGCCAGCAGCCGCGGUAAUACGGGGGAUGCAAGCGUUAUCCGGAUUUAUUGGGUGGAAAGGGUGCGUAGGCUGUGAGGUAAGUCAGCGGGGAAAUGCCCCCGCUCAACGGGGUGAAGUGCCAUUGAUACUGCCUUGCUGGAAUGCGGAUGCCGUGAGAGGAAUGUGUGGUGUAGCGGUGAAAUGCAUAGAUAUCACACAGAACACCGAUUGCGAAGGCAUCUCACGAAUCCGCGAUUGACGCUGAUGCACGAAAGCGUGGGUAUCAAACAGGAUUAGAUACCCUAGUAGUC
rnacentral:rRNA from 1 species